UGUGAAACAUGGUACUUGGUGCUUACUUGGAAGAAUGACCUCAUUCUGUGUGUCUGUUUGAUUGUCUAAGUGACCCUCAGAGGUGGUGAAUUUCAAUGAUUUUAAAUGUGCUAGCCAGGUAUGCCCUGGGUUACUCUGUGUGAGUAUUUUGUUAUGGGAUCACUAGGUAAUAUUUGUCGGACCGUUCUGUGUGAGCGGGGUAGGUUGACUCUGUGUGAGUACCUAUCAAGUAUGUUCUGAUGUUCUGUGUGAACGUCUGACCAGUUCUGUGUGAACAUCUGACCAAUCCUGUGUGGGGGAUCCUUAAAGUUCUGUGUGAGUACCUAAGAUUUUCUUACGUUUUAUAUGGAUUCUGUGAAUUAUUUUGAAAUUAUGAUAAAUUGUAUGUGUGUAUAAUCAAUUACUAGAGAUUUGAUAAAGUAAUGCUGAGAAUAAAAUUAGAUACAAUUUAAACCACCCAUUCGUAGACGUACGUAGGUUGAGUUGGUAUCUUUAAUGGAGAAUUUAAUAAAGAUGAGGGUUUAAGCACUAUUAAACUAGUCUACAAAAUCUGGGAAAUUGAGCUCUAGAAACUGAUUAGAGUGUGUCCAUUUUUGGUUAUCUUACCCUAACGAUGUAACUAUAAAACGCAUAUUGAUUAUCUUCAUCUGGGUACAACAUUUGAAAUAAAACUGCCCUUAAGGUCUGAAAAUUGUAUAUUUUUUCUUCCCAGUAUGAGAGGAGUUGCGGGAUUUAAUGAAUAAACUGUUUUCCAUAAAGUUAGAGAGAAUUUGAGGGAAUCUCGACAUAAUUUAUAAUGUCGUACAAAGCCUAAGGUUUUCCAUCGAACUAAUGAUCAUUGCGUGAUUAAUUGCCGAUAGUGAGGUGUCUUGAUUUUACAAUUACAGACAAUUGUAAAGUGGGUUUAUUUGCGAAGAAUCUUAGUAAUUUACAUUGCGUUGGUCGUAUAGUGGUGAGCAUAGCUGCCUUCCAAGCUGGAGUCCCGGGUUCGGUUCCCAGUCAAUGCGCUAACUAAAAAUCUGAGUUUUUGAUUGUAAUUAAACUAUUUGUAUGUUUUGCCUGGAAAGUUGUGGUCGCUAGUGUUUGUAUAAGAUAUAAACUUAAUGUUUUAAUAGCUUGUUUGGUUCAAAUUGACAGAAGGGAUAAAUUGAACUUUUUAAUAGAUUGUUUAGGUUAAAUUGAUAGACUAAUUCAUUCAACUUAAAAUAAUAACGAAGCUAAUUUUGAUGCAAGACGAUGUCUGUUCACUAAAUAAUCUGCUGAAAUAAUGUAUUGAGAAUUGAGUCGUAUUUAAAUUACAGUACCAAUAGAGGAGACAGUUGCCUAAAUUAAAGAAAUUCUAAAUAAAAGCGGAGAGAUAAUGGCAAUAGAAAGUGAUUUCCCAAAUGUUUUUCAUUCUUAUAGAUUGACUGACACAACCCUAACCCUAACCCUGUGUGUGUUAUUUUUUAAAGUUUUGGACAUUUCAUAAGUUUGAAGAGGAAAAAGAAGAGGAGGUUAUAAAGUUUGGUUUUAGUCUUACAUAGAGGUGAUCAUGAAAAGUGACAUCAGACGGUAUCUUAAUGCAUGGAAGAGAUAAUUGGACCGAAUAGAGUGUGUACCUCAAAACCCCCUCUAACUGACUGAAGAAGAGUGACAAAGGCGUUGAAUAAGGCCCUUCCAAACCACUUCUACCGAGAGAAAGGAACCAAGCCAGAAAUCGGUGUACAGUAUCAGAUCUAAGCUAUUAACUGCUUUUCUUUCAUGCUUCUCUCAGUCCACAUGGAGUGAUCAUGGAGAGAGAUCUGUUCUAACCUUUUCUUAUGGUACUGGUAUAUUGGUUGACGAAUGGACAAGACAUGAGUGGUAAAGAUGAGACAUUGAAAUUGGAACAUUAUCAUGGGCCAUCCACUUUGAACUGUAAAGCUAUCUGAAGAAGAACAAAAAGGACACCAGAAGAAUCAGUGCCUGAGGGGGGGGGGGGUUGGUCAACUGUGCCAAUCAUUUUUUUUAUACUUUUGUGGUAUCAGGUUGAUUGUAGAGGUCUACACCAUGUAAAAUUAUAGUAAUUUAGAUUACGAAUGCAUUGAGAUACUGAUCUGUAUUAUAAUGAUGAUUAAAAAAGUUAAUGGUAGAAUUAUGAGAUAAUUAUUUUGAAUGAAUGUAAAAUCUGCUAAUAUUGAUGUGUGCUAAAUUGAGGUUUUUACUUUGAGUCACUGAGGAAUGUCAUUCUAAAUUUUGGUUGGAUAAAUAGUUGGGUUGUUAAUUAUGAUUUGGAAUAUGAAUGAUUUUACAUUUGAAGAACUACAUGGAGUACUGUCUGGUGUGGUCCCACCGUCUCAGACCCCAGAGCUUGAGCAGGGUAUUUUAGUUUUUGAAGGAGCGGGAGUGUAUAUAUUUUAUAUUUUGUAGUGUGUGUGAAUUAAUGUUAAUUUCCCUUUCCCGUAUGGUUAUUAUUUUACCCCUGUCCAGUACAUAUUUUGAGUAUACUGCCCUACCAAGCAAACAGGCAGUAAUUGCUCAUUUGGUCGAAAAUGACUUAGUUAUUUUUGCUACAUUAAAUGCAUGCUUAAUCAUGUGGGCACGUA